AGUGAACGCUGGCGGUAGGCCUAACACAUGCAAGUCGAACGGCAGCACAGUAAGAGCUUGCUCUUACGGGUGGCGAGUGGCGGACGGGUGAGGAAUACAUCGGAAUCUACUUUUUCGUGGGGGAUAACGUAGGGAAACUUACGCUAAUACCGCAUACGACCUACGGGUGAAAGCAGGGGAUCUUCGGACCUUGCGCGAUUGAAUGAGCCGAUGUCGGAUUAGCUAGUUGGCGGGGUAAAGGCCCACCAAGGCGACGAUCCGCAGCUGGUCUGAGAGGAUGAUCGGCCACACUGGAACUGGGACACGGUCCAGACUCCUACGGGAGGCAGCAGUGGGGAAUAUUGGACAAUGGGCGAAAGCCUGAUCCAGCCAUACCGCGUGGGUGAAGAAGGCCUUCGGGUUGUAAAGCCCUUUUGUUGGGAAAGAAAAGCAGCAGGUUAAUACCCCGCUGUUCUGACGGUACCCAAAGAAUAAGCACCGGCUAACUUCGU
rnacentral:rRNA from 1 species